GGUCAGUAGGUUGGUCGUGCCACCGGUACGUACUGGUCUCACUGAUUCCUCCUUCCUGAAGAACCGUAAUGCCAUUAAUUUGGUGUUGCGGGGAAACAGGACUGUUACUUUGAAAAAAUUAGAGUGUUUAAAGCAAGCUAACGCUCGAAUACAUUAGCAUGGAAUAAUGAAAUAGGACGAUCGAUCCUAUUUUGUUGGUUUCUAGGAUUGACGUA
rnacentral:rRNA from 1 species